UGCGCAGGCGGACCUAUUAGUCAGUGGUAAAAUCCCGGGGCUCAACUCCGGAACUGCCAUUGAUACUGUAGGUCUUGAGUUUGGUUGAAGUGGGCGGAAUGUAGCAUGUAGCGGUGAAAUGCAUAGAUAUGCUACAGAACACCGAUCGCGAAGGCAGCUCACUAAACCAAAACUGACGCUCAGGCACGAAAGCGUGGGUAGCGAACAGGAUUAGAUACCCUGGUAGUCC
rnacentral:rRNA from 1 species